rnacentral:rRNA from 1 species
ACAGCCGUACCAUGCUGAAUAUACCGGUUCUCGUCAGAUCACCGAAGUUAAGCAUCAUUGGGCGCGGUCAGUACUUGGGUGGGUGACCACCUGGGAACACUCCGUGCCGUU